GCUUUGGGCAGUUGGUUGUAGAAUUAACAGAAUAAUUAGGAUUGUAAAUGGAAGAAAGCAAUAGAUAUUGCAAAGUUUGUGUUACCGGUGGUUCUGGAUUUAUUGGUUCAUGUCUCCUUAAAAUGCUCUUAAAUAAAGGCAUUUACUAUGUUCAUGCCACUCUCAGAAACUUGGCACCAAAGUGAACCGUUUAAAGGGGUUAGAAGGAGCGGAAACACGACUGCGAUUGUUUGAAGCAGACAUAUAUAAUCCUCAACAAUUUGAAGAGGCCAUUAAAGAUUGCCAAUUUGUGUUCCAUGUUGCAACACCUUUUAUCAACACUCAACAAUCUCAAUACAAGGAUUUAACCGAGGCAGCAUUAGCUGGAGUAAAGAGCAUUAUCAUGUCCUGCAUAAGAUCAGGCACCGUGAAGCGACUCGUCUAUACCGCCACUGUGAUGGCUGCAUCACCUCUCAAAGACGACGCGAGUGGUUUUAAGGAUAUCAUGGAUGAAAGCUGCUGGACUCCGAUACAUCAUCCUUUUGUUAAUUCUUUACCACUUAAGGACUAUGUAAUCUCAAAAACAGAAUCAGAGAAAGCAGCCUUGAAAUUUGGAGAAGACGGCGAUUUGGAGAUAGUAACCCUGGCUUGUGGGUUAGUAGGAGGGAAGACUACACUUUCCUUCACGAAUCUUCCCACUGUAAUGGUUAUGAUAUCUCCGCUAACAGGUAUCGAGUUUCACUAUAUAAGACGUUGAAAGAACUAGAUGUUUUGUGUGGGAAGAUCCCUAUCAUACAUCUUGAAGAUGCUUGUGAAGCACACAUUUUCUGUAUCGAGAAUGAUUCAAUCAAAGGCAGGUUCUUAUGUGCUAGUGACUAUGUUUCUGCUGCUGAAAUCGCCGAGUGUCUUCAGCAAACUCACCCUGAAUUGAAUGUUAAACCAAUGUAUAUGGAAGGACCAAAGAGGGCUGUAAAGUGGGGAUCAACAAAGCUAAUUGAUCAGGGUUUCGAGUAUAAGCAUGACUUGAAGAUGAUAUUAGAUGAUAGUGUGAAAUUCUGGAGGAAAUUAGAUGGAUCAUUGUAGAUAGUACGUUGAUGUGUGGAUCUAAACCGUGAUUUCCCAAAUCUGAACUCGGUUAUAAGAAGAGCACAAAAGUUGUUUAAGUUCAGAAUCAAAGCAUGGAUGUUCAUGUUUAGUUCCUACAUGUACAUCUGGUAGAACAACACUGUAUAAAUUUGGAAUCUGUUGGUUUUUUGAUUUGUGCAAUUUAGAGUACUUAGAAUUCUAUAAUAAUCUUUGCUCCUUGAAAUUUUAUAUUUAAAACAAAUUUGAGUCAUAUAUUGGUUGUGCAAAUUCUGUCAAAUAUUGGAUCCACCUUAGAAAUGUCAUAAAAUGUGUAAAUAUUGGAUUCAUAAUGCACGUCCCUUAUAUUGUGAUCGAGUUUUGUUAAUUUAAUUCAUUAUUUCAAUAGGGCACUAGUGGGUGUGUAAUAUUUGGACCGACUUAUAAGGAGUACCUCAAACGCUAUAUGUAAGUACUACAUA